GUGAAUCAUCGAAUCUUUGAACGCAAAUUGCACUCUCCGGCUUUCCGGGAGAGUAUCCCUGUUUGACGGUCUGACUAAAAAAAAGCCACAUUGUGUCUGGUUCAUGGUGACUUUCGUCGGAGAUGGGUUAUUUUAAGUCUCGGUUUAAGCGACUUAAAAAUUUUUUUUACGAUUCUAAGAAUGUUUCUAAGAUUUUUCUUGUACGUUUAAGGUAUCGAAUGUCUUAUUAGACGUGGCCGUCAUAUCGGAUCGCGUCCAUAAUUUUUCACUCACUGACCUCAGAC
rnacentral:misc_RNA from 1 species